rnacentral:rRNA from 1 species
CGUAGGGUGCAAGCGUUAAUCGGAAUUACUGGGCGUAAAGCGUGCGCAGGCGGUUUUGUAAGUCUGUCGUGAAAUCCCCGGGCUCAACCUGGGAAUUGCGAUGGAGACUGCAAGGCUAGAAUCUGGCAGAGGGGGUAGAAUUCCACGUGUAGCAGUGAAAUGCGUAGAGAUGCGGAGGAACACCGAUGGCGAAGGCAGCCCCCUGGGUCAAGAUUGACGCUCAUGCACGAAAGCGUGGGGAGCAAACAGGAUUAGAUACCCUGGUAGUCCACGCCCUAAACGAUGUCUACUAGUUGUCGGGUUUUAAUUAACUUGGUAACGCAGCUAACGCGUGAAGUAGACCGCCUGGGGAGUACGGUCGCAAGAUUAA